rnacentral:rRNA from 1 species
CUGACAUGCGUGCGAGUCGACGGGUUCUGAAACCUGGGCUGCGCAAGGAAGCUGACGAGCGGGAGGCCCUCACGGGCCGCACCACUGGCCGACCCUGAUCUUCUGUGAACGGUUCGAGUUGGAGCACGCCUGUCGGGACCCGAAAGAUGGUGAACUAUGCCUGAGCGGGGCGAAGCCAGAGGAAACUCUGGUGGAGGCUCGAAGCGAUACUGACGUGCAAAUCGUUCGUCUGACUUGGGUAUAGGGGCGAAAGACUAAUCGAACCAUCUAGUAGCUGG